CUUGAUCACACGGUGCUGUCACGGGAUAAUUAACUGCCUUUUUAAAACGCUGCAGAACGGAUCAUAGACUACGUUUCUAAUGGAAUCCGCGAUUUAAAGCUACUUGUCCGAAGGCCCUGCAUUGAUCAGUGAAGACUUAGUGGAUUACCGGACCAGUGUUUCUAUGGUGAUGGACUGACGGUCAUACCCAGUCUACUCUGGACUAAGAGUGGACCUUGGAGGGAAGGACCACCGAGGACCACAACUGGCUCCAACACCCAGACUUUUAGACCAAGGCACCCUCCUACCCAGGCACCAGUGACUGAAACAGGGGGACUAACAGACAACCUGAGGAGAAGCUUCCCAUCUUCAUCUCUUUCGCCACCUGGAUCUCUAGAUUCUUCAAGUAGACUGUGUCAGAGAAGUCAGAGAAGCAUCAGGAGAAGAGAAGAAGAGUGAGAGUCCGCACAGGCAGCACAGGGCCAUAGAGGAAGUGGACAACGAGCAAAAAAGACCAGCAAAGAUUGUUCUCUGCCAAACUGAAAGGGAGUUUUCCUCCAUCUCUGUCGCUGAGGGAAGCGGUCAUUAGGGGCCAUGAGUUGCUGCUGGGGCUACCGUCAUUGUAUCCCUCCGAUGCGGAACACUU